rnacentral:ncRNA from 2 species
CUCUUAUCGAGAGCGGCGGAGGGAAUAGGCCCUGUGAAGCCCGGCAACCAUUAAGUGAAUGCUUAAAAAGGUGCUAAAUCCUGCAGAUCAUGUGAUCUGAAAGAUGAGGG